AGUUCGAAUUAAUUGUAUGCGCCUCUAUGCAAAAAAAUGGGAAUAUGAAUGAUUCACUAUUCACCCGGUUUCUGGGUCAUAAUCAUUAUAUUAUGUAGGAGGGAAAGAUGGCCGAGUGGUUCAAGGCGUAGCAUUGGAACUGCUAUGUAGGCUUUUUGUUUACCGAGGGUUCGAAUCCCUCUCUUUCCGUUUCCAUUGAUUAUUUGGUA